rnacentral:tRNA from 1 species
AGAGGAAUAGUUUAAUUGGUAAAACAGUGGUCUCCAAAAUCAUCGUUAUGGGUUCGAGUCCCAUUUCUUCUG